rnacentral:misc_RNA from 1 species
AUGUGUUGUUGGUGAUGACAUUCGUCUCGAGGUGAUGCGGUGUCAUGUUGCCUGUGUAUCCUGGUUUCUAGCUAUUGAGCUUAAAACAUGUGGAUUAUCGGUAAGUGACACGGCAUCGCUCCCUUGGUUGACGAAAGUCAUCCAAUGAUGCGGUGGUUUGUUUGCUUUGUUCUCGCAUCGCUCGGUGCAUUCUGUGGUCAUUUUGGCUGUUGGUGGCUUGCUUGGCAAUUGAGCUUGGUGGGUUGCUACCGGUUGGGUGUCUACGGGGAUGUCUACCGUAAAGGUGCAUGAGUGGUGUUUGGUUUGUUACGGGUGGUUGGCUCUUUGCUUGCGCAACAACUUCUACCCGGCAUACCUCUUCAGUCUCGUGUCAAUGCUUGUAUUGCAUUGAAUGCAUAGCGGGUUUCUUGUGUUGCAUGCCUAAUUAAUGGUAUCGUUUGAUGAAUUGGUUUUCCUUUCGUCUUGCGUCGCCUAUGCGAUGUGAGAUGAACCUUGAAGCAACCUUUGUGAUCCACUCUUUUGAUGCAUACGCAUUGAUUUUGUGGCCCAUUGAGUGUUGCUUGGUCUCAUGGAUAUGGAACCUGGUGUGGGCAUGGAAUCGUAAUGGUUCCUUGUUUGCCCAAGUUUAGCUUUUUCUAAAACGAUUGUCUAUCA